AUGAAUCUCAUCAUUUCUUUAAAAACUUCUGGGUCGACAUCAUUUAUUUCUACUCAAUUCUUUUUGCUUUCUUCCAUUUCAUGUUCAAACAUUGCAUUAAAAACGAGGGAGCGAGCUGCAAGAAAAUCUUCUACUAGUCGACAUUCAGGUACUUUCAAAGUGUUUGUAUUAGUCUGUCCUGAUAUAUUUACUGAAUCCUGGACCACGCUUACCUCACAAAACAAUGUAAACUUAUCAUCUGGUAAAAGACCAUUAGCUUCAUCAAGCAAAAAAUCUCUCCUAAUGAAUUUUUUAAAUCCCCAGUCCUUUCCUUGUACAAAUCAAUAUGCUCUUUGGCUUUCCAUUGCUUUUGUUUCUUCCCUUUUAGCAUUUAGAAGGGAAAAUUUGAAUUUUGCUCGACCUUCACUUUUGGGGCAGCUGACUAAAAGCAAAUAUAAGGAGCAGUAGUCUUUACUUUCAUCAUCUAAUCCCUUUGGAUUUUCUCUCAGGCACCAUUUCAUUUUAUCAUUUGGGCCUGAUGAAAAUGUAGAACUUUGAAAAACUUCACCCAUUUCUUCUCUACAGAAGCUGAAGUUAUUAAUGUAGGAAAAUGUUACUACUUUAACCUGUGUAUAACACCAACUUUCAGCUAUGGGCCCACAGGUCAUCUCUCCAGGCGGAGGUGGGGUAGGUUUAUUACAGGUUUUUAUGAUCAGCUCAGUAAUCCGCACUUCAGUACUUUUCCGGGCUUAGUAGGGGGGGCGGGGCAGGGCGUCCAGGCGGCGGCUCCCUCUCAUGCUGAGGCAGAGGUGGUGGCUGCAGAGGAGAAAGAGGCGGCGGCGGCGGCGGCGACUGCGGAGGCGAAGAGGGCCUGAGGAGCGGGAGGAGGCGGUGGCGGAGGUGAUGGCAGCGAAUCCUGGCGAUGGCUGCCUCUGCCUUACUGCAUCCCUCCUUCCCUCCCCACCCGUUCCCUCAUCCCCUCUCUCUGGCUUUCCAACCUUCUUCCCCGGGAUAAACAAACCCGCCGCCAGGGGCGGCCACCUCAGACUCUUUCCCCCCUCCCACCCGCCCCAGGCUCCUCCUCACACUGGCUCCCCAACCCCGUGGCUGCUGACACCUCAGGCUCCAGCUCCUGGCCACAACCCUCUUUAUAUCCUGGAUUUGAACAUUACUCUGUUGUGACAAAAACCAGGGUCUACCAAUCUGAUUCUCUCUGAGGCUUAGGCUACCAAGCCUAGGUCUCUCAACCUUUGGGGGGGGGCGAUCUAGAUAGAUAGGGAUCUACUCACUCUCUGUCCUCUAGACCCCAACCUGUCAGCCAUCUUUCAGUUUUACUCCUUG
rnacentral:lncRNA from 1 species